rnacentral:rRNA from 1 species
GGCCUUGACAUACUAAGAACUUUCCAGAGAUGGAUUGGUGCCUUCGGGAACUUAGAUACAGGUGCUGCAUGGCUGUCGUCAGCUCGUGUCGUGAGAUGUUGGGUUAACGUCCGCAACGAGCGCAACCCUUUUCCUUAUUUGCCAGCGGGUAAUGCCGGGAACUUUUAAGGAUACUGCCAGUGACAAACUGGAGGAAGGCGGGGACGACGUCAAGUCAUCAUGGCCCUUACGGCCAGGGCUACACACGUGCUACAAUGGUCGGUACAAAGGGUUGCUACCUCGCGAGAGGAUGCUAAUCUCAAAAAGCCGAUCGUAGUCCGGAUCGCAGUCUGCAACUCGACUGCGUGAAGUCGGAAUCGCUAGUAAUCGCGGAUCAGAAUGCCGCGGUGAAUACGUUCCCGGGCCUUGUACACACCGCCCGUCACACCAUGGGAGUUUGUUGCACCAGAAGUAGGUAGUCUAACCGCAAGGAGGACGCUUACCACGGUGUGGCCGAUGACUGGGGUGAAGUCGUAACAAGGUAGGCGUAGAUGA